rnacentral:piRNA from 1 species
UGUGCGUGGUGCUGCUUUGGUACU